rnacentral:tRNA from 1 species
GCCGAUAUAGCUCAAUAGGUAGAGCGCUGCGGGUACCCUUUCAAACAGAGAGCAGAAUGUUUCAGGUUCAAGUCCUGAUGUCGGCA